UUUCUAAUUCCCUCAGCUCUGGAGUGCAAGUCUCAUUUGCUGUCGUCAAAACAAUUCUUUACGAAAUCCACUAGAUUUUUCGAGUGAAUUAAGAACGUGGUUUGAAAAUAAUUAUUCAUAAUAAUCCAGAAUGGAUAUUUAGUGAUAGUGCUAUGAAUAUCACGAACAUUCCUCCAGAGUUGAGGGAAUUGGCAACUACGGCGACGUAGCGGAGGCCAGUAAACUGGUGAGUACUCACUUUCACAAAGGUAAGAACAUGAAAGGUCGACAAAAAAUUGUCUGGCCUACCUUGAGACUCGACGGUUCCUGCUCUUUGUACAUAAACAACUAUUUUUGUUGAGAUCGACGGAAAAUAGUUGUUUAUGCAUUAGUUUAACCCAAAUAAAGUCUAAAUAACAAUUCAAAUGCUUUUUGAAUGUACUUUAAAGCCGAAAUAACUAUCAAAAAUAAAUCAUGUGAAAUAUCUGAUGAUAUAGCGUGUUUGUUCUUGAAAAUUAUAUAAUGAAAAAUUCACCUCGAUAGAAAGGAGAGCCUUAAAGUGUUUCAGCCGUGUUUGGGAGGCAUAGAGGAGACCGGAACCCCUUCCCCCUAGACUGUUUUCACGAACAACAUAACGAUAAUAACAUUAACAUACAUAAUAAUGUGACCGACUGAUACGAACAAACGAAAACCUUGUUUCAGUGUUUUUUGAUUAUUGAUUAUCUACACAAUAAUGAUGAUUAUAGCAUUCGAAUUCGAUUUUAAGUAGUGAUAUAUUGCGAGGACGGAGCAGGGCGGAACUGCAAGGUUUGAGGGCCGGCCGCUUUUCAAGAAGCUUCCACUCAGAUCUGAUCCCAAAAAAUACACCGCCACUUUUCGAACGAAGCAAAAUUAGCACUUCGAAGGAGUCGAAUUAACGUUUUGGAACUAAUCAUCCUGUAUAUAGAAACACUCUUUGCCCAUAUAUCAAGAAGUAUUCAGUGGAAAAAUAUGCAAUUUUAUCGAUUGAAAAAAAAAAGAAACAGGCAAAUAAAAUUCCAAGAGAACAUACUGACUUUGAAUUGCGCUCAAGAAUUUUUUUUUGCUCUGCAUAGAGAUUUACUUUCACAUUCCAUUUGCAUGGAAUGAAAUUCGAAUUUCCUUUGGAAUCUAGAAAAGGGCAACAAGCUGUGUAUUAAGAAAAUAUCUUCAAUAAACAGCCUCUUGAAGGAGAAGAGAUUUGUGGCAAAUUUUCAACCCUCAAUAGAGAAAAAUAGGAAAUCAAAACAUUUUUUUCUUCAAGUGAUAAGGUCAUCUAAUGUAGAUAUACAGGAGGUCUCAUGUAAGAUCACUUAUGCUUAAUUGCAUCGUUAUGAACAUUUUUCAACUUAAAGAAGCGGUGAAAUUACAACAUCCCCUCUACUUUCCCCAUCUGAACACAGACAUACAACCAGAACUUUAAAUACAAAACAGAGAUCAAGCUAUAAUUAUUACGGAAUGUGAGGUUUAUUAUUUAUUGGGACCCCAUAUAAAUCUGUACCCAUUAAAUGACUCUAUCACUUGACUGUACUGUAGUUGUUCAAGACCAAUUCAAAAUAGUCGCCUUUAUCAUCUUUUGCUUUGAAGGGGAUUGAUAAAAAUAAAUUUCGAAUAGAAAUUGGCAUUUUGCUCCUAGGAUAUCGUGAAAAAUACGAAUUUCAUUCCACGCCUGGCAUUCAAAUACAGAAAACCAUUCUUCGCUAAUUUUAAUUUGAAAUUUAGGCCCUAAUUUUUAUUAGUGUUAUUGGGACAUGAGUUUCAUUGAACGUUUAUAUGUUUAUCAAGAGGUUUGAUAGUUAUCUAACUGCUGAUUUGAUUCCAGUUUGAUUUGAAAUAUUUAGUCCUUGUUAAAAUGCAUUCAAGUAAUAGUUUGAACUUGCAGAUAUCGUAAUAAUCUCUGAAACUGAAUUUUAUCGCUUUGAUGUGAAUUGAAAUAUCAUGUAGCAGUUCGCCUGAUAUAAAGCAGUGGAAUAAUCCUUAUGAUGGCUUAUUAUGAACUAAUAAGAUUAAUGACUGAGAUUUGAGAAUGAAUCAUAAAGAUCUAGGCCUCAAUCGUGGAAAAUUAAGUGAAAGAAAACAUUCACACAUGUAAACAUUUUUUUGGACAAAAAAUAACAAGCGUUUCUGAAGUAUGUCGUCAAAUAUUAAAGCUAUGGAAUUUUGAAGAUUUGUAUUCUAUGCUGAGUGGUCAAACAUACACUGGAUUAGUGUGUCUUUCAGAUUCUAGUGUAGUGUGCGAUUUUUAUACGACAAAAUAUUAGAGUCUGUUCUAUUUAGUAGCAUUUCUGUUAUACAGUCUGUCUCUACUAUAACGCAACAAAAUUUGGUCAAAUAUAAUCGAGAUUAAAUUGGAAAACUCCUUUUUUGUUCUUUUAUCAGAAUUCCUCCUCUUUCGUAGUUGCAAUCCUGUGAAUUUCACCCCUAAAAAUAGUAUUUUUUCAUCUCAGAAUCUGGUCAGACGAAAAUCAGUGAAUUUGGUACACGUACACAGGACUUUUAUGAAUUGCGAAAUCUCAUAGACAUAUUGAGGCUAUGGGCCCCUCAAGAUACUUUCUACUGGUCCACAACGUCAGCCUCCUAAGAUUACCAAUUAGAGUACCAGACGAAUCUCGAAAUGUCUUUUCAAAAGUCUUGCGUUUCGCAAAAAACUUGAAGGACAAAUAUGCGGUUAUUUUUUGGUGGUUUCAAAGACAUUAUGGCCCAGUAAAAAGUGUCUUACAACUCUUUACCAAUUUCGGGGAUUCUGAGAUGAAAAGAAGAAACAAUUUUUAGGAGCGGAAUUUGGGGGGUUGUACCUCCAAAAUAAGAAGCCUCUUGGCAAGGAUCAGAAAUAAGAUUCUCCUAAUUUUUCUCGAAAAUCGGUGACCAAAAUUUGUUGCAUUGAUUUCGGUACACUCUGUAUAAUCGAAACGCCUAUGAAAUGAGACAAGUUCUAUCAUUUUAUCCCAUAAAAGACCCCUAUUUUCGAUUACAAACUAAGCAACAAGUUCAGGCACAGAAAACCACCCUUCAAAAUAUCAUAACUCACUUUGACUCCUCAGUUGAAAAAAAUUUGAGGCGAUACGGAAUGAAACAGACGGGUUCAGAAACGCCUGCCAACCUUGCAAAUACUCGACCAAACACUUACAAUGAAAACGCAUUUAUUUUGAAUUAUAUUUGUGCCUCUCGGUUACUUUAAUCAUUUUACAAUCCUUGGAAUGUCACCGGCUGUCAAAUCCAAGUGAUAUGGAAGAAAAUUCAUAUUGUGUUUUCAAGGUUUGACAUUAUUCAGGCAUUUUUUUUUUCGUGUUUCGUGCUUUAUUUUUAUGGUUUCGUCACAGACCACCUCCACUGUGUUCUGUGAUAGUGUCAAAGUUUUACACCACCUCUUUGCGCAGUCGCAUAGAGGUAAUACAUUAGAAGUUGAGGCAUUCUGUGACGAAACCACAAAUAUAAUGCACAAAAUACGAAAAAACGCCUGAAUAAUGCGAAAUUUUCUCCCUUAUACCUUAUACCGACAUUCCUAGAAUUAUAAAAUUAUGAAAGCAAGUGAAAGGCACAAAUAUAAUUGAAAAAAAAUACGUUUCAUUGUUUAGUCGAUAAUUUACAAGGUUGGCAAACGUUUCUGAACACGCCUAUUGAAAAAUUUCCAGCGUUCAUUCACUAGAUGAUAUUUCAAUUCACGAUGUAGACAAAACAGUCCGGCCAUUAUCGGUAUCUAGUCGUAAUGAAAUGAUCGCGUAAGAAAAUAUAUUUCGCAAAAACUGAAUCUGGGUGAAAGUUGAGGCCCGCUACCCCCCCGUCCGAUCCGGCUACGCGGGGUGGAUAUGUAACAAGGGCUAAAGCUAAUCCAACCCUAGGUAAGCUUCACACAGCCCAAAAAUACAAGCACUUAAAACAGUGCCGAAAACUAAUCAGAGUUUGUUGUUGUGAGCACUACACAGCAUUCGCACAUCGUUUACGCGCGCUUUUAACACGUUUAACUCGAUGCGCCAUUUUACUUCUUUUUUUUAAUUACGUUAUCAUUACAAAUUA